CCCACCCGUGAGGUUGUAGACGUGGUACGGGGAUGAGAAAGCGGUGACUGAGGCGGCCGCUGCCGCAGCCGCCGAGGGAAGGACCAUGGGGCUUCCGUGGCUCACCUGGGCCGCCCUGUGCUGCGCCGCGUGGCUCCCGGCGGCGCAGGCCAAGACGGUCCGGGGCGGCUUCUCCAGCGCGGCCGCCGGAGCUGGCCAGGCGGCGGCGCAGUUCCAGUUCCACGGUGAUUGUGCUCUUCUGUAUGUCAGAAUCAACAAUGUAGCAACAGCAGUUGGAAAAGAAGCCAAGCUUCACCUCUUUCAAGCCCAGGAAUGGCUAAAGCUGCAAGAAAGCCACCAGGAUUACAGCUGUAAAGAGAGAUUGUCCAAAGCUCAGCUGAUAAUGCACCUGAACAGCACAGAACAAAAUCUGACUGUGUCCCAGAUUCCAUAUCCUGACACAUGGUAUGUGUUUUAUGUCGACAAGUUUACCUGUGCGGUGAAUUAUGAGGACUCUGAAUCCGAGGAAGUUCAAUUUGAAAUGGUGUUACUAAACCCAGAUGCGGAAGGGAAUCCUUUAGAUCACUUUAGCGCAGGGGAAUCAGGCCUCCAUGAGUUCUUCUUCCUGCUUGUUCUGGCAUACUUCGUCGCUGCUUGCAUAUACGCUCAGACAUUGUGGCAGACGAUUAAAAAAGCAGGGCCUAUGCACACUGUGUUAAAAGUUCUGUCGACUGUUCUGCUCUUACAAGCCGCUUCCGCUUUUGCUAACUACCUACAUUUUUCAAGUUACUCUAAAAAUGGAGUAGGAGCACCUUUUAUGGGAAGCCUUGCAGAGUGGUGUUCCAGGCAGACAGUUUCUUGUGCAAAUAUUCCUGUAAAGACGUGGCACAGAAGUAAAGCCCUACAACAGGUGAUUUUAUACAGAGGUUUUUCUUGGUGGCGUAAUUCAGACAAUUCAAUCAUAUUAAUGUUCUUCCCCUUAGUGUGCGACAUAAUCUCUCAGGUGCAGAUGCUCUAUCUACUGCUCAGUUUGUGCAUGGGAUGGACAAUAGGAAGAAUGAAGAAAUCUCAGAGUAAACCUCUCCAGUGGGAUUCCACUCCAACAUCCACAGCCAUUGCAAUAGCUGUCGUGGUAGCACAGGGCAUUUUGCUAAUUUGGGAACAGUUUGAGGAUACAAAUCAUCACAGCUACCACUCACACCAAAGUUUAGCAGGCGGGCUUCUCAUUGGCUUGAGAAUUUGCCUAGCUCUGUCGCUCGGCUGCGGACUUUACCAGAUCAUCCGAAUUGAGAGAAGCACACUGAAAAGAGAAUUCUAUAUCACCUUCACAAAAGGCUGUCUUCUGUGGUUUUUGUGUCACCCAAGUCUUGUAUCCAUAUCUCUAAUGUUAAGAGAUUACCAGCGAGAGAAGGUCAUUACCGUAGGCGUCAUCCUCUGCCAGUUGUUUUCCAUGGUCCUCCUGUACCGACUCUUUGUUUCCCAUAGUCUGUACUGGGAAGUGUCCUCCCUCUCUUCAGUAACACUGCCACUUACUGUAGCAUCUGGACAUAAAAGUCGGCAUCAUUUCUGAGAUGCAUCUGGGAGAUCCGUUGACAAAUGUGCAAUAAAGACUUGGAAAUGUGCAGCUAUUUUCAGCAGUGAAUCCACCACAGAGGAUCUUUGGGAGAAACGAAACAAUCAAAAUACAGAAUUACACUGCUGCAGGAGCUGAACGAGUGCAGGAUUAGCAGCAGUGGGGAAUACAACUAUGGCAGACUUAUCCUCAAAGAACUUGGUCAGGAGCGUACGGGGAGAGCGUCAGGGGAGCCUGAGGCGGCAAUCCUGAUACAGUACAAGCUUGAACAUAAUUUUAGGAAUGCAGCCUUUAAAAUCAGACAGUCUAGUCUUCAAAAGCACUGCUUCAGCACAAGCCUUACUAAAGGUAAUAGAGCUUCCAGUUACAAACCGCUUUGAGAAUCAGUCUCGGGAUUUCAUUUAAGUUUAUAGGUGCCACAUUUUUGCCUCUGACUAAGGCAAAUGGCAACAUGACAAAGUUGUUCAUUAAAUAGGUUCACUCGUUACUCUUUGUAAUUCAGGACAAGAACGGCAGGUUGAGGCUGGAAAGACUGAAAUCGUAGACUUUCAUGCCAUCAGCAGAACGACUGCAACGUUAAUUUUUGCAUUUUUCUGGUAGCCACAUCAAAAUGUUGUCGGCUUAAAUUGUGUUUAUCUCUGUGCUCAUAUUCAGAAUAGGAAAGGUGGGUUUUGGCACAAACUUUUAAUAAUACAAGAGAACAUACAUCUGGGUUUCCUCCCACGCAAAAUGCACACAAGGCUUGGACCAAGAGUUGUCAUCUUGUGUGAUAAAAGUUGCAUUUGGUCAGAAAAAAUGCGUGAAACUCUGAUACUUCAAUUCUCAUAUUAAUUGUGCAGUGUGAUUUCUGCUUUCAGUAGUCCACGUGCUGGCAAAUUAGAGAUUGGAUUAUUUUAACAGCAGGCGGUUGCUACUCGUAAAGUGGAGUCCAGGAGAGCCAUUUCCGAGCUUGGGAGGAGAGGGGGUUGCGGGCUACCCCCUCCCACACACGCGGGGGCUGGCCUUUUGCCCCCGCGAGAUCCAGGGAAUCCCCGGGCUUGCCUUCGACCCGGCCCGCCAAUCGGCGGGCUGGGGAGGCGUGGCCUAGCCUACUUAAGGCCAGGCACGCCCGGCGGACCGCCCUCUUUCCCCUUUCCAGCUGAGCGGUUUUAUUCGCUCUGGGACCCGUGCCGACGAGGUUUUUGCAUUUUUUCGUUGCUUUCUUUUCCUUCCCUGCUGCUUUUGUUCAGACCAUUGCGCGUGCCGCCUCGCUCUGCCUGCUACCCCUCGCGCUGAAACCACUUCGGGACUCAGGUCUUGGAAGAGCUGAAAUCACUAGCCAGGAGUCCCAGCGGCUUACCUUUCUCGGAGGUGCGGGAAUUCAGCACAGUGGUUCGCCACAAGGCUUUAAGAUCAGCGCUCCGGAGUCCCGUCGGAACAAUCCGGGUCGUGGUAAAGUAUCCGGGUGCUGGGGGGCUGGCUGCUUGAGACUCUGCGUACUUCUUACCUCCUUAAUUGCCUCGAUUGCUCACCCGGUGCUGUGAGGAGUUUCUGGUCGUCGUCCCCCUUCUCCUUUGCUUAAAGAAUGUCGUGAUUGGGCUUCUGAUGAAUGGUACACCAUCAGCAUGUUAUCAGCAUCCAUCCGUCUCAAAAGUCAGUGGACUGUGCCUCUGGGUGCGAAGUCAACCCAGUGGAGAAUCACAGUGCCUGCUGUGGCUGCAAAGACUCAUAACUGCUGCAUCCUAUGUUGUUUUUGCUGCAUUGGCAGCAGCACCAAAGCCACUGUCAGGGCAGACAGCAAGACCCCGCUCUCAGGCUCGCUGAUGCGCUCAAAAGCAGAGCAAUAUGUUUGGCACCAGCUUGGCUGCAAGAGUUGACGGAAAGAGGCGUACAGGAUGCCAUCCAACCGUCUUAGGGACUCCACUCCAGAUUUGUGUAGGGCUUACUCCUUAGCCUUUUCUUCCCCCUUUCUCACAAAUGAGCAUA